rnacentral:rRNA from 1 species
CCUACGGGAGGCAGCAGUGGGGGAUAUUGCACAAUGGGGGAAACCCUGAUGCAGCGACGCCGCGUGGGCGAAGAAGUAUUUCGGUGUGUAAAGCCCUAUCAGCAGGGAAGAAGAAAUGACGGUACCUGAGUAAGAAGCACCGGCUAAAUACGUGCCAGCAGCCGCGGUAAUACGUAUGGUGCAAGCGUUAUCCGGAUUUACUGGGUGGAAAGGGAGCGCAGGCGGCACGGCAAGCCUGAUGUGAAAGCCCGCGGCCCAACCGCGGGACUGCAUUGGGAACUACCGGGCUGGAGUGCCGGAGAGGUAGGCGGAAUUCCUAGUGUAGCGGUGAAAUGCGUAGAUAUUAGGAGGAACACCAGUGGCGAAGGCGGCCUACUGGACGGUGACUGACGCUGAGGCUCGAAAGCGUGGGGAGCAAACAGGAUUAGAUACCCUAGUAGUC